GAUGAACGCUGGCGGCGUGCCUAAUACAUGCAAGUCGAGCGAACGGACGAGAAGCUUGCUUCUCUGAUGUUAGCGGCGGACGGGUGAGUAACACGUGGAUAACCUACCUAUAAGACUGGGAUAACUUCGGGAAACCGGAGCUAAUACCGGAUAAUAUUUUGAACCGCAUGGUUCAAAAGUGAAAGACGGUCUUGCUGUCACUUAUAGAUGGAUCCGCGCUGCAUUAGCUAGUUGGUAAGGUAACGGCUUACCAAGGCAACGAUGCAUAGCCGACCUGAGAGGGUGAUCGGCCACACUGGAACUGAGACACGGUCCAGACUCCUACGGGAGGCAGCAGUAGGGAAUCUUCCGCAAUGGGCGAAAGCCUGACGGAGCAACGCCGCGUGAGUGAUGAAGGUCUUCGAAUCGUAAAACUCUGUUAUUAGGGAAGAACAUAUGUGUAAGUAACUGUGCACAUCUUGACGGUACCUAAUCAGAAAGCCACGGCUAACUACGUGCCAGCAGCCGCGGUAAUACGUAGGUGGCAAGCGUUAUCCGGAAUUAUUGGGCGUAAAGCGCGCGUAGGCGGUUUUUUAGUCUGAUGUGAAAGCCCACGGCUCAACCGUGGAGGGUCAUUGGAAACUGGAAAACUUGAGUGCAGAAGAGGAAAGUGGAAUUCCAUGUGUAGCGGUGAAAUGCGCAGAGAUAUGGAGGAACACCAGUGGCGAAGGCGACUUUCUGGUCUGUAACUGACGCUGAUGUGCGAAAGCGUGGGGAUCAAACAGGAUUAGAUACCCUGGUAGUCCACGCCGUAAACGAUGAGUGCUAAGUGUUAGGGGGUUUCCGCCCCUUAGUGCUGCAGCUAACGCAUUAAGCACUCCGCCUGGGGAGUACGACCGCAAGGUUGAAACUCAAAGGAAUUGACGGGGACCCGCACAAGCGGUGGAGCAUGUGGUUUAAUUCGAAGCAACGCGAAGAACCUUACCAAAUCUUGACAUCCUUUGACAACUCUAGAGAUAGAGCCUUCCCCUUCGGGGGACAAAGUGACAGGUGGUGCAUGGUUGUCGUCAGCUCGUGUCGUGAGAUGUUGGGUUAAGUCCCGCAGCGAGCGCAACCCUUAAGCUUAGUUGCCAUCAUUAAGUUGGGCACUCUAAGUUGACUGCCGGUGACAAACCGGAGGAAGGUGGGGAUGACGUCAAAUCAUCAUGCCCCUUAUGAUUUGGGCUACACACGUGCUACAAUGGACAAUACAAAGGGCAGCGAAACCGCGAGGUCAAGCAAAUCCCAUAAAGUUGUUCUCAGUUCGGAUUGUAGUCUGCAACUCGACUACAUGAAGCUGGAAUCGCUAGUAAUCGUAGAUCAGCAUGCUACGGUGAAUACGUUCCCGGGUCU
rnacentral:rRNA from 1 species